rnacentral:tRNA from 1 species
UCCAGGUGGCUCAGUGAGUAGAGAACCUGCCUGCAAUGCAGGAGAUGCUGGAGACAUGGGUUCGAUUCCUGUGUCAGGAA